UUACUAGCAUAAAUCUUUUUUGAAAAAUAUGUUUUGACCGCAAAACCGGCGGAAUCAAGCGAAAGCAACGGUAAAAACAGUUGUAAACAGGCGGCAACAACCCGCUUAAAGUUAAUACAGAAAUAAGGAGAGAAAAGUGAAGCGAAUCGCUGAUAGUGCGCAAACCCCAAAAACUCGAUACAAACUCGCAGCCACAGCAGCGGUCAUUUUUAUAGCAGUGUCCCAUUUGGGAAUUACAAAUAUGAUAAGUUGGCUGGUCACGACUGUGUGGACAGAAGAACAUCGCGAAAGCUUUCGCCGAGCUUUGCUCGCGCCAAAGAAACCGAAACAAGCUUUUUUGGCAGCUGUCGACUUGAACGCGAAUUGAAUCGAAACGAAUCGAAUGGAAAGGCAUGGAAUCGGGAGUCGCAACCCCUAACCCAUCGGUGAAAUGCUUUCUUCACUCGCGGAAGGCACAUAUAAAACAAACAACGGGCUAGAGACAGGAAGAGGACCCGAAAAAGGGCGAAAUAUCGCGAACAGGACUCGAGGACCCAGGACCCUGUCAACUAAUUUCGAGGUCCUACCUGCGUGUCGAACACGCCACGAUCACGGGGAUCUCGAAGAUCAGCGGGAACACUCGACGACACGAAAAGGGUUGGUCGGUUCGCAACUGGCAGCUGGUGAAAAAAAGAAAAGACGCAAAGAAAGUGGUCCCAACAGGGGAAGAAAGUCCUGGAAAGGUAAAGGUGUCCUCCUGCCACGUGUACCGACCGGAACAACAACAGUUGCUAUCCCAUAUCCCUAGAGCGGUGCCCGCAGGUCGAUAACAAUAGCCCAGGACAAUAGCACAUUCGGAUCGCAUUAGGAUCGGGACACCUUUCAUUUUCUUAAAACUUAUGUUUGAAGAAAAAACAACAAAAAUCGCAAAUGGCGGCGGCGGCGACGGCGUCUGAAUCUAUCUGAAUCUGAAAACUAUCUCGAUAGCUAUUUAGCUGUAAGCGACGCGGCGUGAGCUAUUUGCUAUUUGCUGUGAACUGUGAGCUGUGAGCUGAGAGUCGAGAGUCGAACGAACUGACGCAACGGCGACGAGUGAACUGCCUGCCCUGCCGGAUAUACGGAUCCCAAUUCCAAGGUGUCUGCUCGGCGCCCGAUGAAAAUGCGAGGAAAACUCUGCCACUCCGCUCUCUGUCCCUCUGCCACCGCCGCAGCAGCAGCUGCGUUGGCGUCAGCGUCGGCGUCGCAUUUUCCCACCCAUCCAAAACAGUGAAAGUUGUAAACCAAAAUGGCUGACCCUGCUCCUGCGUACGUGUGAGCGUCUAUCCGCUCUAUCCGCUUUAAAGAGCAGCAGCCGGCUUUCACCACACUCACUCCAAACAGUCAACGGCCACAAGAAAAUGAUCUU